UUUUUUUUUUUAUUUGUAUUGGUUAUGUUUGCGGCUAUCCAUGCUGAAGCUCCUGAAUUCAAAGAAAUGUGUUAAGGUAGUUAUGGACUUGUUAACUCUGUGUGCCAGAUUAAAAAAAAACUGGUUAUCAGCCACUGCCAGCUACAGACAUGGACCCAGUGCAGGAAAGAAUAACUGCUACACAGAAAGGACCUUUGCACCUUUAUUGGUAUCAGUAGCAAGCUUCUAGCAACCCAAUUUACAUAUAGUAAAAGUAAAUGUAACAUUUUGCACCAGGUAUACAUGGUACAGAUAUAGUAAAUUUUGUACUCCAGUGUUAUGUGACUGCUAGUGUUUUUUAAAUCCACAUGCUGUUAUCCUAUGCCUUUUAAAGAGCAAUAGAAAAAAUAAAAAUUAACAAGAACUACUGGUACUCUGAAUGGCUUAUUUCAAAGUGGUUUGUGUUUAAGCAGGUGAUCUAAUUGACCCACCUGCAGAUAUUUGGAUGUAUAGAAGCCACCACAGUACUGCUAUCCUGUGCUGUUGAUGAACUGGGUAUCUUUUCAGCAAUAGCUCUCCUGGAUUCCUCACUGGAAAUGAUGCACAUAAUCCUAUAGACUAUGAGUACUAUGGUGGGGGUUGCACUCUAAAUAAAAUUCUCCUGGUAGCUUGUUUGUGCCUCUGCUGCUUUCUCCUGUUACUAUUCAUAUGGGAAGCUGGCAUAACUUCAGAUUAAGCAACUGACACUUCAUAACUGGCAUCAUGUGCAGUAUUCACAUUCCAUUUAAAAUGAUUUUGAGAGAGGAUUUAUUUGCAUAAUCUCCUCCAAAUAGGAUUGCACAUAAUUUUAAGAUACUAUUACUAUUUUUGAAACUCAUACACUGUCUAAGGAAAACUAACUGCAGCUCAUACUCAAAAUUCAGAGACUUUUGUCUCAGACUUUUCAGGGUAUUGAAGUUUUUACUGGUUAUGAGAAA